GACGAACGCUGGCGGCGUGCUUAACACAUGCAAGUCGAACGGAAAGGCCCUGCUUUUGUGGGGUGCUCGAGUGGCGAACGGGUGAGUAACACGUGAGUAACCUGCCCUUGACUUUGGGAUAACUUCAGGAAACUGGGGCUAAUACCGGAUAGGAGCUCCUGCUGCAUGGUGGGGGUUGGAUAGUUUCGGCGGUUGGGGAUGGACUCGCGGCUUAUCAGCUUGUUGGUGGGGUAGUGGCUUACCAAGGCAUUGACGGGUAGCCGGCCUGAGAGGGUGACCGGCCCCACUGGGACUGAGCUAAGACCCAGACUCCUAUGGGAGGCAGCGGUGGAGAAUAUUACACAAUGGGCGGAAGCAUGGUGUGGCAACGCCGCGUGCGGGAUGACGGCCUUCGGGUUGUAAACCGAUUUCGCCUGUGACGAAGCGUGAGUGACGGUACUGGGUAAAGAAGCACCGGCUAACUACGUG
rnacentral:rRNA from 1 species